rnacentral:pre_miRNA from 1 species
UUAGCUCAUGUUUGUAUGGAAUGGGAUCGUUUGCGUGCGUUUGCCGCUAGGGGUGCUGUUUUAACUGCAUACAAAAGUGAGUUA